rnacentral:rRNA from 1 species
GAUGAACGCUGGCGGCGUGCCUAAUACAUGCAAGUCGAGCGAACAGACGAGGAGCUUGCUCCUCUGACGUUAGCGGCGGACGGGUGAGUAACACGUGGAUAACCUACCUAUAAGACUGGGAUAACUUCGGGAAACCGGAGCUAAUACCGGAUAAUAUAUUGAACCGCAUGGUUCAAUAGUGAAAGACGGUUUUGCUGUCACUUAUAGAUGGAUCCGCGCCGCAUUAGCUAGUUGGUAAGGUAACGGCUUACCAAGGCAACGAUGCGUAGCCGACCUGAGAGGGUGAUCGGCCACACUGGAACUGAGACACGGUCCAGACUCCUACGGGAGGCAGCAGUAGGGAAUCUUCCGCAAUGGGCGGAAGCCUGACGGAGCGACGCCGCGUGAGUGAUGAAGGUCUUCGGAUCGUAAAACUCUGUUAUUAGGGAAGAACAAAUGUGUAAGUAACUAUGCACGUCUUGACGGUACCUAAUCAGAAAGCCACGGCUAACUACGUG